CCUAAUACAUGCAAUGUCUGAGCGAACCGAUAAGAAGCUUGCUUUUUGUUGGUUAGCGGCGGACGGGUGAGUAACACGUGGGUAACCUGCCUGUAAGACCGGGAUAACUCCGGGAAACCGGUGCUAAUACCGGAUAGAUUAUCUUUCCGCCUGGAGAGAUAAGGAAAGAUGGCCAUUGCCAUCACUUACAGAUGGGCCCGCGGCGCAUUAGCUAGUUGGUGAGGUAACGGCUCACCAAGGCGACGAUGCGUAGCCGACCUGAGAGGGUGAUCGGCCACACUGGGACUGAGACACGGCCCAGACUCCUACGGGAGGCAGCAGUAGGGAAUCUUCCGCAACGGACGAAAGUCUGACGGAGCAACGCCGCGUGAGCGAAGAAGGUCUUCGGAUCGUAAAGCUCUGUUGUUAGGGAAGAACAAGUAUCGGAGGAAAUGCCGGUACCUUGACGGUACCUGACGAGAAAGCCACGGCUAACUACGUGCCAGCAGCCGCGGUAAUACGUAGGUGGCAAGCGUUGUCCGGAAUUAUUGGGCGUAAAGCGCGCGCAGGCGGUC
rnacentral:rRNA from 1 species